rnacentral:ncRNA from 1 species
CCCACUGCGAGGUGGGAUCCGAAGGAAGCCGAAGGCAAACUCCAGAUCCUAUGAACAGGAACCGCAUACGAGGCAGCCACAUCUGGGCGAGGAGGCCAAUAGAGCCGAAGCCCCCAAUAAUAACCCGAGUCACCCGGGAGGUGUGGAAGUAUAUGCGGCGGGUAUAUGUGAGGAAGGUCACGCGU